CUCCCCUUUUCAUGGCACUUUUCCCCUCUAGAUUCAGGAUUCUCCAGGCUGCAUCUUCCUUUGUUUUUUUCAGCUCCUCCCAAGGCAGAACACAAGGAGCUGAGUUUCCAGCUCUAAGGCAGCCACCAAACUCCUGUCCCUCUUGCUGCUGUUUUUGGGAUGUGUUCCAUGAGGAAUUUUGCCACCAGGCCCAUCCUUGGUGUCAUUCCAGAGCCAGCCCAGCAGAAGGGAGAGAAGAAAAACGAGAGGAAACAAAGGCAACCAAAGUCCUGCCCCCCCCCAGUUCCACCUCGUGCCAGGAGGGUUCCUCUUCCAGCCUGGAGAAGGAAGGAGCAGGGACAGGAGGGGACACAUCCUGCUACACCUGGAGAACUACAAACACCUGACAACACCUUGAACAAAGCCCACAGGACAUGGAGAGGCUGCAGGAAACAAUUAAACACGUUUGCUAAGACAGACAGAGCACGAGACAGGUGGGAUUUCAUCCUGGCUGCUCCCAGGUGUUGUGCAGAGCCUGAACUCCCCCCCCUUUCCCUUCCCAAAGAACUGCCAGGAGAUAUGGAAAUGGGAUCAGGCAGCAGGAUUUGGAGAGGGCAGUCACCUCCAAAGCUAAACAGGACAUGACAGAGCCCUCUUUAUCCCCUACUUUUGACUUAUUGGACAAUUAGAACAAAAUUAAAACAGUGAAGAGCCCCUGUCCUACACACUGGAGGCCCCAAAACCUUUUGUCCCUGUUAAUUGUUGUUUUUUUUUUGCUCCUGGUGGCACAGUGAGUGCACAUCUGGCAUGGGGAGGAUGAAGUUACUUUUUUUUUUUUAAUUCCCCAGAUGUGUUUCCAUGGGCCUUUCUGCUGCUCUUACUGUAGGAAAUGAAAUACAACAGACAAAUUCUUCAGCCUGCAUUCUCUAUACAUACAGAAGUUUUUACACUAUCUACAAAACAGUGAUUAGAUGCUUCUCUGUAAGUCCUUGCUACUCCUUUAAAAAUACUAGAGAAAAAAACUGUACAGUUCUCUAAAUUACAUCUUUAGAAGAAUAAUUUUUUUUUUAGAAGUUCAUAAAAGACUUCAUGUUGGUUUCUAGAGAAGAUUCAAUGAUUGGAGAAGAAAGUUUAGAAAUCUGGUGUUCAGAUCAAGUUGAGAGAGACCAAGCACUUAACAGAAUGUUAUUUUGUAAACUGUAAACUUCUAGUUUUCUGUUCAACUUUACACAAGCAUUUGAAAAUUAGGAAGAACUUCAGUUCUGAGGUCCUUGUUUUCAUCUCUGCUACAUACAAAAGAUACUGAAAAGCAAAAAACUAUUAAAUAAUUUAAUAUACAAGUGUAGUUAAAAAGCACUGUACAUUGUAACAAAUGUACAUUGAAUUUGAGAGAUAGAAAAUCACCCAGUUAUGUUCAAAUUUACAUGAUUUUUUUUUUUGUCCUUUUUUUUUUUCUUCUUUUAAAUUCUGUGAGGGGAAGAGGACUCUGGAAAGGGAGCUCUGCACACCCCAGGCCACAGAAGCUCCUGGUGAAACACUCCCAGCACUUUCCCUCAAAUUCUUCCUUCCCUCCUGAGAACUGGAAGGGACUCAGCUCCAGAGCAGCCUGGGUGGCACACAAGGACAUUUGGAGAAAAUUGCUGCUGAAAUCAUUAAAAAAAAAAAAAAAAAAAAAAAAAAAAAA